GCCAGCCGCUGGAAUCACAACAUAGAGGGGUGUGGCCGAUGAGGGUUCUGAAUCCUAGAGCUAUUUGACGCUCGAAAUCGCAGAUUCUGAGUUGUUCCGGACGCACUUGAGUUUCUCAUGGGGGUUAGAGUCUAUGAUGGCAGGGCAAAGGCCUGGUGACAGAACAGCUGACAUCUCAUGAUCUGAAAACAGAAGGCAGAGAGUGCACACUGGGAGUGGUGGGAGGUUUCUGAAGCUAAGUCUGCCGCCAUGACACAUCUCCCCCCCCCCCAACAAGCCACACCUUUUAAUCCUUCCUGAACAGUUCUACCAACUGGGAAUCAAGUAUUCAAACAUUUGAGCCUAUGGGGACUAUUCUCAUUGAAACAACUACAUUGUCCUAGCCUUGUUAGCUUUCUCAACUCACAAA
ensembl:lncRNA